rnacentral:rRNA from 1 species
GACGAACGCUGGCGGCGUGCUUAACACAUGCAAGUCGAACGGAAAGGCCCUGCUUUUGUGGGGUGCUCGAGUGGCGAACGGGUGAGUAACACGUGAGUAACCUGCCCUUGACUUUGGGAUAACUUCAGGAAACUGGGGCUAAUACCGGAUAGGAGCUCCUGCUGCAUGGUGGGGGUUGGAAAGUUUCGGCGGUUGGGGAUGGACUCGCGGCUUAUCAGCUUGUUGGUGGGGUAGUGGCUUACCAAGGCUUUGACGGGUAGCCGGCCUGAGAGGGUGACCGGCCACAUUGGGACUGAGAUACGGCCCAGAAUCCUACGGGAGGCAGCAGUGGGGAAUAUUGCACAAUGGGCGGAAGCCUGAUGCAGCAACGCCGCGUGCGGGAUGACGGCCUUCGGGGUGUAAACCGAUUUCGACUGUGACGAAGCGUGAGUGACGGUAAUGGGUAAAGAAGCACCGGCUAACUACGUG